UACGUAGGUGGCAAGCGUUAUCCGGAAUUAUUGGGCGUAAAGAGUGCGUAGGUGGUUACCUAAGCGCAAGGUUUAAUCUUGAGGCUCAACCUCAUUCUGCCUUGCGAACUGGGCUACUUGAGUGCUGGAGGGGAAAGCGGAAUUCCCAGUGUAGCGGUGAAAUGCGUAGAUAUCGGGAGGAACACCGGUGGCGAAGGCGGCUUUCUGGCCAGUUACUGACGCUCACGCGCGAAAGCUGGGGUAGCGAACCGGAUUAGAUACUCGCGUAGUCCCUGA
rnacentral:rRNA from 1 species